rnacentral:misc_RNA from 1 species
UUCUUGGAUUGAAAUCCAGACCCAGAGGCUUUGUCAAGGUUAAGGGUAAGAAGCUUCCCACUGUUGAGUAUCUUAGCCCUGCCAUCUCCCCAGGUGAUGUCAAAGUCUUGGUAGAAGUUCCCAGCAAAUGCAACCGUCAGAGAGCUAAUUGAAAGAGAGAUCAAUAAGAGUAUUGAAACUCUUGAAGAAGCCAUCGUAAUGAGAAAUGGGUGUGAGAAAAUAUAUGUUUUGGAUUGAAACACAAAUUGUUUU